rnacentral:rRNA from 1 species
AUGAGGGGCGGCGCCUCGGCGGGCCACCCGCGAUGGAGCUCCGCGGGGACGACGCCGCGGUCGCUGAGCACGGGCUCCUCGCCGCGCGGCUCCGAGCCGGCCUCCGAGGACGGGGAGGAGCUGGUGGAGGUCACGCUCGACCUGCAGGACGACGACACCAUUGUGCUGCGGAGCGUGGAGCCGGCCGCGGCGGCGCUGGGCUCGGGCUCGGGGGCGCUGAGGCUGCCGGUGCCGGCGCGGGGCGAGCUCGCGGACGGCGGCUGCGGCGCGUCGUCUUCCUCGUCGCGGUCCCCGUCGAUGCGCCGGACGUCGUCGUACCGGCUGCUGCAGCUGUCGCAGGAGCUCAUGGCCGGCGCGCGGCACUUCUCGCACGACCUCACCAAGCGGUUCAGCCGCAGCCACAGCCACAGCCGCGACGAGGCCCACCACCACCACCAGCAGCCGUCGUCCGGCAUCGAGUCGGCGCUCGCCGCCCGCGCCGCGCGGCGGCAGCGCGCGCAGCUGGACCGCACGCGCUCCGGCGCGCACCGGGCGCUCCGCGGCCUCCGCUUCAUCAGCAGCAACAAGGCCAGCAACGCCUGGCGGGAGGUGCAGGCCAACUUCGACCGCCUCGCCCGCGAUGGCUACCUCUCCCGCUCCGACUUCGCGGAAUGCAUAGGGAUGACUGAGUCCAAGGAGUUCGCCCUGGAGCUGUUCGACACGCUGAGCCGGCGGCGGCAGAUGAAGCUGGACACGAUCAGCAAGGAGGAGCUGCGAGAAAUCUGGCAGCAGAUCACCGACAACAGCUUCGACUCCCGCCUCCAAAUCUUCUUCGACAUGGUGGAUAAGAAUGCGGACGGCCGGAUCGGGGAGGCGGAGGUGAAAGAGAUCAUCAUGCUGAGCGCGUCCGCCAAUAAGCUGUCGAGGCUUAAGGAGCAAGCGGAGGAGUACGCCGCGUUGAUCAUGGAGGAGCUUGACCCCGAAGAGCUGGGAUACAUCGAGCUUUGGCAACUGGAGACACUUCUGCUGCAGAAAGACACGUACGUGAACUACAGCCAGGCGUUAAGUUACACAAGCCAGGCACUGAGCCAAAACUUGGCACUAAGGAAGAAGGGCUCCAUCCGCAAAAUAGGCAACUCUUUGAUCUACUAUUUGGAGGACAACUGGAAACGCUUGUGGGUGCUCGCCUUGUGGAUUGGAAUAAUGGCUGGACUCUUCACCUGGAAGUUCAUCCAGUACCGCGAGCGCUAUGUCUUUAAAGUGAUGGGCUACUGCGUGACAACUGCAAAGGGCGCCGCUGAAACCUUGAAGCUGAACAUGGCAAUCAUCCUCCUGCCGGUGUGCCGCAACACCAUUACUUGGCUGCGGAAUACAAGGGCUGCACGUGUAUUGCCAUUUGAUGACAAUAUCAACUUCCACAAGACUAUUGCAGCAGCAAUUGUGGUUGGUGUUAUUCUCCAUGCAGGGAACCAUCUUGUAUGCGAUUUUCCACGGCUUAUACGUUCAUCAGAAGAAAUGUACGCUCCUUUGGGAAUUUAUUUCGGGGAAACAAAGCCAACAUAUCUUGCAUUGAUCAAAGGAGUGGAGGGCGUCACCGGGAUAAUCAUGGUUGUGUGCAUGAUAAUUGCUUUUACGUUAGCAACUCGGUGGUUCCGGCGUAGCCUAGUAAAGCUUCCAAAACCAUUCGACAAACUGACUGGCUUCAAUGCUUUCUGGUACUCCCACCAUUUGUUUGCCAUUGUGUACGUGGCUCUCAUUGUUCAUGGCCAGUUUGUGUACCUUAUUCGUGUCUGGUACAGAAAAUCGACAUGGAUGUAUCUUGCAGUGCCUGUGUGCUUGUAUCUAGGGGAGAGGAUUCUGAGGUUCUUCAGGUCUGGCAGUUAUGCUGUCCGGCUCUUGAAGGUGGCCAUUUAUCCUGGCAAUGUCUUGACGCUGCAAAUGACCAAACCUGCGACCUUUCGUUAUAAAAGUGGGCAAUAUAUGUUUGUUCAGUGUCCAGCAGUGUCGCCCUUUGAAUGGCAUCCCUUCUCAAUUACUUCAGCCCCUGGAGAUGAAUAUCUCAGCAUUCAUGUUCGGCAACUUGGUGACUGGACACGAGAGCUCAAGAGAGUAUUUUCCGCGGCUUGCGAGCCCCCAGUGAGUGGAAAAAGUGGCCUUCUUAGAGCAGACGAGACAACUAAGAAAACCUUACCAAAGCUUCUGAUCGAUGGCCCUUACGGUUCUCCUGCUCAGGAUUACGGCAAGUAUGAUGUUUUACUGCUUGUUGGAUUAGGAAUUGGUGCAACACCCUUUAUCAGCAUUUUGAAAGAUCUCCUCAACAACAUCAUUAAGAUGGAGGAAGAGGAGGAUACUUCUACGGAUCUUUAUCCACCAGUUGGUCGGAAUAAGCCACAUGUUGAUCUGGGUACGCUUAUGAGGGUUACCACAAGACCAAGGAAGGUUUUAAAGACUACAAAUGCUUACUUUUAUUGGGUGACACGUGAGCAAGGCUCUUUUGAUUGGUUCAAAGGAGUCAUGAAUGAGAUUGCCGACAUGGAUCAAAGGAAUAUCAUUGAGAUGCACAACUACCUCACAAGCGUUUACGAGGAAGGGGAUGCUCGGUCAGCGCUCAUCACUAUGCUUCAAGCUCUGAACCAUGCCAAGAAUGGUGUCGAUGUUGUCUCUGGAACUAAAGUUCGGACACAUUUUGCAAGACCAAAUUGGAAAAAGGUCCUAGCCAAAAUUGCCUCCAAGCACCCGUAUGCCAAGAUAGGUGUCUUCUACUGUGGAGCUCCAGUCCUGGCACAAGAACUUGCGAAACUUUGCCACGAGUUCAACGGGAAGUGCACCACAAAAUUCGAGUUCCACAAGGAGUAUUUCUGA